UACCAGACUCCUACGGGAGGCAGCAGUGGGGAAUAUUGCACAAUGGGGGAAACCCUGAUGCAGCGACGCCGCGUGAGUGAAGAAGUAAUUCGUUAUGUAAAGCUCUCUCAGCAGGGAAGAAAAUGACGGUACCUGAGUAAGAAGCCCCGGCUAACUACGUGCCAGCAGCCGCGGUAAUACGUAGGGGGCAAGCGUUAUCCGGAUUUACUGGGUGUAAAGGGAGCGUAGACGGCAGUGCAAGUCCGGAGUGAAAGCCCGGGGCUCAACCCUGGGACUGCUCUGGAAACUGUAAAGCUGGAGUGCGGGAGGGGCAGGCGGAAUUCCUGGUGUAGCGGUGAAAUGCGUAGAUAUCAGGAGGAACACCGGCGGCGAAGGCGGCCUGCUGGACCGUAACUGACGUUGAGGCUCGAAAGCGUGGGGAGCAAACAGGAUUAGAUACCCGUGUACA
rnacentral:rRNA from 1 species